rnacentral:rRNA from 1 species
CCGGAGCGAAAGCGAGUCUGAAUAGGGCGUACAGUCGCAGGGAUUAGACACGAAACCAGGUGAGCUAACCAUGGCCAGGUUGAAGCGAGUCUAAACGCUCGUGGAGGACCGAACCUACUAAUGUUGCAAAAUUAGGGGAUGAGCUGUGGUUAGAGGUGAUAUGCCAAACGAACUUGGAGAUAGCUUGUUCUCCCCGAAAUAGCUUUAGGGCUAGCGUCAUGUGUUAAAUAACGGAGGUAGAGCACUGAAUGGGCUAGGGGGCUCACUGCUUACCAAACCCAAUCAAACUCCGAAUGCCGUUAUUCGAGAGCAUGGCAGUCGGACUCCGGGAGAUGAGUUUCGGGGUCGAAAGGGAAAGAGCCCAGACCAUCGGCUAAGGUCCCCAAAUUCAAGCUAAGUGGGAAACGAUGUGAGGUUACUGAAACAACCAGGAGGUUAGCUUAGAAGCAGCUAUCCUUUAAAGAGUGCGUAAUAGCUCACUGGUCGAGUGAUCUUGCGCGGAAAAUUUAACGGGGCUAAGCUUGAUACCGAAGCCAUGGGUUCUAGAUUUAUCUAGAGCGGUAGGGGAGCGUUCUGUCAGCAGUGAAGGUUGACCGUGAGGACAGCUGGAGUGGACAGAAGCGAGAAUGCAGGCAUGAGUAGCGUAAAACACGUGAGAACCGUGUUCACCGUAUGUCUAAGGUUUCCGACGCCAGGUCGUUCCGCGUCGGGUUAGUCGGGGCCUUAGCCGAGGCCGAGAGGCGUAGGCGAUGGAUAACCGGUCAACAUUCCGGUACUACUUAAUACGAGCGAUGGAGGGACGCAUAGAGGUAAGCCAGCCUGAGAUUGGAAGUUCAGGUGAACCAUGUGUCAGACGUUGAAGUCCGCAGGAAAUCCACGGACCGAGUUGAGACAUGGUUGCGAGUCUAUAAGACGUAAGUGAGCUGACCCUUAGUGCCAAGAAAAGCUUCUAAGUGUUGACUAUUAAGUACCCGUACCGCAAACCGACACUGGUAGACGGGUAGAAUAUACCAAGGUGAACGGGAGAACCUUCGUUAAGGAACUCGGCAAUUUAGCUCGUAACUUCGGGAUAAGAGGUGCCCUUUGACGUGAAAGUUUACUUGAGCGUCGGAGGGUCGCAGUGAAAUGGCUCAAGGGACUGGUUAACAAAACCACAGGUCUCUGCAAACCGUAAGGUGAUGUAUAGGGGCUGACACCUGCCCAGUGCCGGAAGGUUAAAGGGAGAGGUUAGCGCAAAGCGAAGCUUGAACUGAAGCCCCGGUGAACGGCGGCCGUAACUAUAACGGUCCUAAGGUAGCGAAAUUCCUUGUCGGGUAAGUUCCGACCCGCACGAACGGUGUAACAACUUGAGCAGUGUCUCAACGAAGGACCCGGCGAAAUUGAAAUGGCUGUGAAGAUGCGGCCUACCCGCAGUAGGACAAAAAGACCCCGUGGAGCUUUACUGCAGCUUGACAUUGAGUUUGGAUAUUAUUUGUGGAGGAUAGGUGGGAGGCUAUGAAGCUAGGGCGCCAGCCUUGGUGGAGCCAUCAGUGAAAUACCACCCUGGUAAUGUUUAGACCCUAACCUACGACCGUUAUCCGGCGUAGGGACCGUGUCAGGUGGGCAGUUUGACUGGGGCGGUCGCCUCCUAAAGAGUAACGGAGGCGCCCAAAGGUUCCCUCAGGCUGAAUGGAAACCAGCCGUAGAGUGUAAAGGCACAAGGGAGCUUGACUGCAAGACCAACGCGUCGAGCAGAGACGAAAGUCGGGCUUAGUGAUCCCACGCUUCUGAGUGGAAAGGGCGUGGCUCACCGGAUAAAAGCUACCCCGGGGAUAACAGGCUAGUCAGGUCCAAGAGUCCAUAUCGACGACCUGGCUCGGCACCUCGAUGUCGGCUCAUCGCAUCCUGGGGCUGGAUAAGGUCCCAAGGGUCGGGCUGUUCGCCCGUUAAAGCGGUACGCGAGCUGGGUUCAGACCGUCGUGAGACAGGUCGGUCUCUAUCCACUGUGGGCGUAAGGGAUUUGAGGAGAGCUGCUCCUAGUACGAGAGGACCGGGGUGGACAGACCUCUAGUGUGCCAGUUGUCGUUCCAACGGCAUCGCUGAGUAGCUACGUCUGGCAGAGAUAACCGCUGAAAGCAUCUAAGUGGGAAACUCGCCUCAAGAUUAGAUCCCUGUAAUCCAGUAAUGGAGUAAGAUCGCAGGUAGACCACCUGCUU